GCCGAGCUUAGUAACGUGAGCUUGUAACUCAAGUGAGGGAAAAUAGAGGAGUGAGUGAGUUGU
rnacentral:SRP_RNA from 1 species